UAUCUACUCCCUCCAUUCCAAAUUACUUGUCUUAGAUUUGUCUAGAUAUGGAUGUAUCUAGACUCAUUUUAACGCUAGAUACAUCCGUAUCUAGACAAAUCUAAGACAAGUAAUUCGGAACGGAGGGAGUAAUUG
rfam:Triticum aestivum genome assembly, contig: Triticum_aestivum_CS42_TGACv1_scaffold_049359_1BS